CCUACGGGAGGCAGCAGUGGGGAAUUGUUCGCAAUGGGCGCAAGCCUGACGACGCAACGCCGCGUGGAGGAUGAAGAUCUUCGGGUCGUAAACUCCUUUCGAUCGGGACGAAUUCCCCGGGGGUGAACAACCUUCGGGGUUGACGGUACCGAGAGAAGAAGCCCCGGCUAACUCCGUGCCAGCAGCCGCGGUAAUACGGGGGGGGCAAGCGUUGUUCGGAAUUACUGGGCGUAAAGGGCUCGUAGGCGGCCCGCUAAGUCGGACGUGAAAUCCCUCGGCUCAACCGGGGAACUGCGUCCGAUACUGGCGGGCUUGAAUCCGGGAGAGGGAUGCGGAAUUCCAGGUGUAGCGGUGAAAUGCGUAGAUAUCUGGAGGAACACCGGUGGCGAAGGCGGCAUCCUGGACCGGCAUUGACGCUGAGGAGCGAAAGCCAGGGGAGC
rnacentral:rRNA from 1 species